rnacentral:rRNA from 1 species
GACAGAGGGGGCAAGCGUUGCUCGGAAUUACUGGGCGUAAAGGGCGCGUAGGCGGGAUGGCAAGUCGGUCGUGAAAUCCCUCGGCUCAACCGAGGAACGUCGAUCGAUACUGCUGUUCUUGAGGAUUGCAGAGGAGACUGGAAUUCCCGGUGUAGCGGUGAAAUGUGUAGAGAUCGGGAGGAACACCGGUGGCGAAGGCGGGUCUCUGGGCAAUUCCUGACGCUGAGGCGCGAAAGCGUGGGGAGCAGACGGG